rnacentral:rRNA from 1 species
ACACGCAUGACACACUGCAUAUCAAUAAGCGGAGGAAAAGAAACUAACAAGGAUUCCCUUAGUAACGGCGAGUGAAUGCGGGAAGAGCUCAAAUUUGAAAUCUUCAAGGUUUUACCUUGACGAAUUGUAGUUUAAAGAAGUGUUUUCUGUUGAAGUUUUGGUAAAAGUUCUUUGGAAUAGGACAUCAUAGAGGGUGAGAAUCCCGUAUUUGACCAUUAUUUUCAGCUGUGUGAUACACUUUCAAAGAGUCGGAUUGUUUGGGAAUGCAGUCCAAAAUGGGUGGUAAAUUUCAUCUAAAGCUAAAUAUUGGCGAGAGACCGACUAGCGAACAAGUACCGUGAGGGAAAGAUGAAAAGAACUUUGAAAAGAGAGUUAAACAGUACGUGAAAUUGUCAAAAGGGAAGCGUUUGACACCAGUGUUGUUUUCUCGAAAAUCAAUUAAAAAUGAUGGGAUUUUGUGUUGUAUUGACUUUAUCAGCUUUCUGCAGCUUUUUUCUUAUCUUUUUUAAUGCACUUUUCGUUUAACAAGUCAACAUCAAUUUCUUUUGUUGUAAAAGAGUCAUUGGAAGGUGGCUUUUUCUUCGGAAAAAGUGUUUAUAGCCUUUGGCUUCUGCAAUCGGAGAGAUCGAGGUCUGCAGCGUAGAUCCUUCGGGGUUAGAUACAUUUGUGCUAAGCUAUAGUUCUUUAUAGACAACUUGUUGACUAUAAUCAAUCCUGUAACUUACUCGCUUAUGCUAUUUACCUACGCUUAGGAUGUUGAGCGCAUGUCUCUCUCU